rnacentral:lncRNA from 1 species
ACUUAAUUUGUCUAUCAGGGCCCUCCAUGAAGCCACCCUUUUUCUGUGGAAAAUCUCCUAUCUCCAUAGUCUCCAUGGCCCCAAUUGUCAAGGGAGAUGAUUCUACUCUUGUUGGCUGGAGGUUGAAACAAAGCCAAGGAGAAUCUCUUUAGGCCAAGAGACUUGGCUAAGCAAGAGGAGCUGAUGGGGCACAACACUGAAGUAGGACAGGAUUUGAAGAGCACUUCACCUGUGUGAUUUUUUUUCCCCCAAGAAAACCUAUGACCUCAAUCUAAUUAUGAGAACUACCUCAGGCAAACUGAAACUGAGAGAUGUUCUACAAAAUACCUGACCAGUACUCCCUCAAAACUGUCAAGGUCAUCAAAAACAAGAUUGAAGAAUUGCCACAGACCGGAGGAGACUCAGGAAGUUGACAACCAACUGCAAUGUGGCAUUCUGGAUUGGAUCCAGGAACAAAAAGAAGAAAAGCUGAUGAAAUCCAAAUAAAGACUCGAGUUUAGUUAGAA